AUGCUGGUUCCCUGGCUCUCCCCUCCACCUCUGGCAUUCCUGGAGGAGAGAGGGAGCCGACCGAGAAGAUCAGUUCGUGUUCCCGGACCAGCAUUUUCUAUGCCAGGGUGUGGCCGGAGGAAACUUCCCAGCAAAAGCGGUGUGGGGAGCAGCCGCUUCUGCCUUGGCACAUUCAAGCAACGCGGGGCAGAUGGAACGGCGUGGAGCUGUCCUGAGUGCGGGGGAGCGCAGGCUCCGGCCAACUCCUGCCCCCAGACGCACCUCCAACGCCAACGCCGUGUUGCCGAGAUUGCCAGGGGCUCCUGCCGCAGGAGGCUCAGUUCGCUCCGGCCGCGCUGCGCGCCUCUGCCCGGUCAACCGCCCUCCCUGGGCAAACGAGGUUCCCAGCCUCGGAAACGCAGCUUCCCUUGGCGAAAGGCUAGCACCGCGCACGGUCUCCGUUUCCAAUCUCCAGCAAACAGGGGAGGGAACUGCUUUACCCAUCCCAGCCCGCUCCCUCCGCGAUGCCGACCCCGGGGUCUGCAGCCCGGCUGGUUGGUAUCCACAUCAGGAGCACUUUCUGGCCUCCGAAGGGGAGGCGGCUUUCUGUCAUUUGUGCUUCGGGAGGAGGGGGCGGCCGGCGAGGUGCAGAGCCCCCGCUGCGGGCCGGGGUCCUGGGGCGCAACGCCUUCAUUAUGCCCCCUCGCUUCGUCGCAACCCAGUGAACUGGAGACUAGGGCACUCAUUUUUCACACGUGGAGUUGGAGGUUCCGAGAUGGCAAGCGACUUGCCAGAGACCCCAUGGAGUGUGAGGCCCCCUCUGAGGUCCGAAAGAACCUAGAACUGCAGAGCGGUCGGUCGGCAGAGGAGAAGCGCUGGGCUCUCGGGUGGAUGAACAGGAAGGGGUCCAGGUCCAGGCGCGCCGCGUCCUCACUCCCCUACGCAGGUCCAGUCCCCUCCAGAAGGCUCCAAGUCCAUCCUCCGGGAGCCAGGAGAGCCCGGGCAAGAGCGGCUGAACCCUGGCGCCGGUAG
rnacentral:lncRNA from 1 species